rnacentral:rRNA from 1 species
UGGGGAAUAUUGCACAAUGGGCGCAAGCCUGAUGCAGCCAUGCCGCGUGUAUGAAGAAGGCCUUCGGGUUGUAAAGUACUUUCAGCGAGGAGGAAGGCGUUGUGGUUAAUAACCGCAACGAUUGACGUUACUCGCAGAAGAAGCACCGGCUAACUCCGUGCCAGCAGCCGCGGUAAUACGGAGGGUGCAAGCGUUAAUCGGAAUUACUGGGCGUAAAGCGCACGCAGGCGGUCUGUCAAGUCGGAUGUGAAAUCCCCGGGCUCAACCUGGGAACUGCAUCCGAAACUGGCAGGCUAGAGUCUUGUAGAGGGGGGUAGAAUUCCAGGUGUAGCGGUGAAAUGCGUAGAGAUCUGGAGGAAUACCGGUGGCGAAGGCGGCCCUCUGGACAAAGACUGACGCUCAGGUGCGAAAGCGUGGGGAGCAAACA